UACGUAGGGGGCUAGCGUUGUCCGGAAUCAUUGGGCGUAAAGCGCGUGUAGGCGGUCCGGUAAGUCCGCUGUGAAAGUCGGGGGCUCAACCCUCGAAUGCCGGUGGAUACUGUCGGGCUAGAGUACGGAAGAGGCGAGUGGAAUUCCUGGUGUAGCGGUGAAAUGCGCAGAUAUCAGGAGGAACACCGAUGGCGAAGGCGGCGUCCUGGACCAACACUGACACUGAUGAGCGAAAGCCAGGGGAGCAAACGGG
rnacentral:rRNA from 1 species